GCCGGCGGCUUUAGCGAGGGGGAAACACCUGGUCCCAUCCCGAACCCAGCAGUUAAGCCCCUCAGCGCCGAUGGUACUUGGG
rnacentral:rRNA from 1 species